GGAGCUCCUGGGUGAGGCUGUGUGGGGAAAUGGGUGCAGCCUCUUCUUCUUGCAUUCCUGGUCUCCCAGAUAAUCCAUUGGAUCUGCUCCUGGAGCAAGGUGCCUCUGGACAGUGAUGGAUUAACUGGCUAAGAAUUUGCCAAGGGCAUCAACAGCAGUUUUCCCAGGCUCCAGCACAAGGAUUAUGUAGUCAAUCCACAAAUGACUCAAAUCUUUGAAGAAAAGGACAUGGUUAUCAGAGAGGCUUUGACGACAGCAGGGACGGGAGUGCUAUCUGCCUUUUUCCAUCAGAGAUUCCCAUUCCCUCUCAUUAACAUACUCAGGACAUCAGCACAGCCAUCGGCCCGAGGGAAUCGCUUCCAACUUUUAAGGGAAUGUGCACAAGACCUCGCCCCUGCGUUGUUUCAGACAGAUCAAAGCAGAUUUGCCUCGUGUAAAGGUUCUUCAGUCCCACUGAGGAUGUGAUGUGAAAGCACACACACUUUGUGUGGGGAAAGGAGAAGCCUCUACCUGCUCUCUCCCAGCGCCCUGUAAUGAAAAAUGCUUUUGGAGCAACACUGGAAAUAAGCCAUCAAAAUAUCUGAUUAAACCUCUUAGGAAACUCUCACUAAUCACCUUCUCUGCUCUUGAUGGAAUGUAUUUAUGCAUUAUAAAUAUACUUACUAUGUGUGUGUGCUCCAUAAAUCACACCCAGCACUUGUAUAUGAUGUAUAAGCACAUUCUAUAGAACACACACAAAUACAGAUGCCAAGCUCCCACAGAGUUCAUCACUGGAAAAUGUUUGAAGGAUCUGAUCCUUAAUAUUUAAUGAGAAAGAUGCUAUUUCCUUCCUCAGCUUUUAUCUCUGGUUUGGCAUAGUCAUUAAAUUUGUUGUUUCCUUGCAAGAUUAUAUAAUUUAUGACCUAAUUUUAGACUUUUGUGUAACCACGUUGAAACACUCGUGGCGUAUCCCGAUUUCCUCACACGGAGUGUUCCAGCCUCAGCCACCAGCUCCAACACGACUUCUGUGAGCUGCCUGUCAGCAAGGAGUCACAGGCAUGAAAGGAAAACAGCCCAGCAAUAUUCAGGCAGCAUUAGAAGAUUAGUUUGUGGGGGGUUUGCCCUGCAAAAAAUAUGAUUUAGCAGCAUUUCCAAAGCCGUCUGCGGUGCUGGCAGGAAUCCCCAGUUCAGGUGCCCUGCUGGAUGUGUUUGGGCCAGUAGCAGCCAGGAUGCAAAGCUGAGCAUCCACAGCCAUCACUCUCCUGCUCUUCACAGUAGAUGUUGCUGCCUUCCAAAUAUCCAGAAUUCAUUGAUAGUGAAAAUUUUGAGGAAUGGGACUUUAUUCAGCCCACAACAGCUUGGCAAAUUCAGAAUAUGGAGCAACAACUGGCUAGAAAAGGAAACAAUUCUCCCUUUUUAAGGGGAUAAAGUGCAAUGGGAAUAGGACUGCUCAGUGGAGAAUUCCUUGUGGCAGAAGGAUGGGCAGCAUGGAGAUUUCUGAGAUGGUUUGGAUGUCACUUCCAUCAAGUAGAAGGAAUGUUAUGCUAAAACUGUUCAUCAAAACUGAGACCUCACAGGUUAUUUUGUUGGAGAGUCACGAAAACAACCACUGAUUUUUUUCCCUAGGGCAGAGAUUUUGUGCUAGAGGAGAAAAUGAGAAAACAGCCAGACCCCAAAAGAGGGAAAAAGGGAAAACCUGAGAUUAGAGCAGAGAAAAGGUAUCAAAAUUUGUAAAAGAAAUUUGAUGAAGCCCUAAUUGUAUUUAAAAUCCAUGAUUGUUUUGAAAUCCAAGGAACUACUGUCAAAUUAUUUGUGACGCGUUAUUUCCAUAGUCAGAAAAUCCUCAUCUCUUGUAUCCCACUUUCAAAAGUUCAGUGUAUUCCAGUCUGAAAUCCCAAAAGACAGGGAAUACACCUGGAUUUCUGAUGCUUGGGAGUAUUGGCAUUAGAUGCAAGCAGCUGGGUUUUCCCAGGAAUGUUAUUCUGGAAUAUUUGAGUCACACAAGUUCUGGCACAGGUGCUGGGGGUGAUGUGGGCACAGGAGCACUGUGAGGUGGACUCGGGAUGUCACUGCUCUUCCUGGAUGUCACAUUGGAGCAUCGUGGUCUGGGUAAAUCCAGCCAGGAAUCUGCCAGUGGCCUCAGCAGAGCUGGAAUUCCAUCCCAGAGUGACACGGGCUGGUGACAUGGAGUGAUGUCAAGUCACUGAUGUAGACCUGGAAAGAUUCCUUGUCACAUAACUGAUCCCAUCGGGUUCCCAAAUUUCACUUGGGAUUUUUUUACCAAGUUUCCAUUCCCACUGCAAAUAUAUGGAUAACAUGUUUAGGCAUUAUCCUUAAAAAAGUAAAGAAAUAAUUUCUUUUGGAGAUGUGUGAUCUGUAGAAGACAUUUGUGUAAUUUUGCAUUCUAAAUGUGAUUUAUAUUUAUAAAUAAAUUUGCAUAAAAUCUCCAGCUCUCGAUGUCAUAGUUCUAUUCUAUCUUUA